rnacentral:misc_RNA from 1 species
AAGGAUCAUUAUCGAGGUCAAUGCCCAUUGGGUAUCCUCUCACACAUGAAUACGCAAACCGUUUCUUCGGCAGGACGUCUUUCGGGACCGCUGACUCUUACGAGGGAGCGCGAGCCUGCCGGAGGUCUCACUCUUUUAUUUUGGAGUCUGAGCCAAACAAAAUCAAACAAAACUUUCAACAACGGAUCUCUUGGUUCUG